rnacentral:tRNA from 1 species
GCCUGGGUGGCUCAGUUGUUGAGUGUCCGACUUCAGCUCGGGUCACGAUCUCGCGGGUUGCGAGUUCGAGCCCCGCGUCGGGCU